GAUAAGAACUUAACGAGCAUUACUUGACUUCGACCUUGAAUACUACAAAAUGAUGUGCUGCUUGCCUCUAAUAUUUGACCCAAAUAAUAAUAACUGAUGGCACAAAUCUGUUAAAAUUCAAGGAAUGGAAAUGCCACGAAAGACAUUGUUUCCGUAGGAAACCACUUUAUUGUAUUAAGAAAUCAGUUCCAUAAUUCUGCGUAAGUGUUCAUCGAAUAUUGUCUCAGAGGAGGAAUUUGCGGUACUGGCAUGGCUUUGACCAAUGUCUUAAUUUUAAUGGAUGCGUAGUCACUUCAAGAAAUGUAGAAAUGAAGCAACCAUUGAAUAAGAAACAACUGGUUGUGUGAAGCAAGAUGAAGCAUAUGAGAUCGACUUGAAAGCAAGUCCCAUGGAGAUGGCCAAAUGAGAACAUGCUUCCGGUAUUACAUGCCUACAGCUUCAUUAUUUUAUUCACAAAUUUUUUACCUGACAGGGUUGAAGCUUUGGUGCUUCUUUCUACAUGCAUCCAGAUGGUCCCUAAGAAAUUCUCACCGAUUGUGGUGGCAGAGUGGGGUAAAUAAUAAGAUAGUUGAAAAGGACAUGACCAAUCUGUUCCUAUCUGUCCCCAACCUGAGCUGGUGUUGAGUCCCUAAUUGUGUGUCUCUUGUUGUUGAUGGGACAUUAAACCAUAACAGUUCCUUUCUUCAGUCACAAUAGCCACAAACACGUGAGUCUUAAAUUCUUCAACAAACUGCCAAAAAGAGCUCACUAGAUUCCCUUACUGAAAUGCUAGAAAAUAUUAGAAACUGUGCUAAAAGAGCAAGACUUUUAUAGAGUUGAUGAAUUCACGGAGAGUGAUUUCCAAGGAUUGGGCUUUGGAUAGCUGCCUGUGUCAGUAAAAUUGCAUGUAAUAAUCAUACAAUUAGAAUUUGGUGUUUAUACAGGGUGAAGCAAAAUUCGCGCACUAGGCUUCACAGCACGACUCCUCACACGCCAGCAAUAAAAAAAUCUCUCUUUCAAAAUUUAGUCUGUCUGGCAAGAACACCCGGCAGAAAAAGGACGUUAAAAGAUUGACAAUGUGGUAACACUGUAACCACAUAUAUGGUAUAUUCCUCUGUCAGCGUGUAUCAGUUGUGCUGUAUAUGUGGUGCAGUGGGUAGAGUUUUGGGUUAUCAUGCAGAACGACGAUGGUUCGGUACUGUGUUAGGGCAUAUGUUUUUUAUAUGGUAAAUGUAGUCCAGAUGGUACAGUAUCUGGCAUCUUAAUCGUCAACAGCGAUUGCAGCAGGUCCUCUAGAAAACAUUUGUACUUACAUACUACAAUUGUAGAAAUGGAAGAUUGGUCAGCUUUGAAAGAAGCCCUUUCCACAUUGUGGGCUUGAAUUUAUUCGCACCACUUCAUCUACUAGUCGCGAAAGCUGUUUUUCUUUGUACCCUCCUCCAAUGGUCCCAUAGAUUAGUAGCAACUAUUAUUCUUGCCUCGUUCAGGUCCUUUACAUUUCAUUAGGGCCUUACGUUAGCAGUAGGACUAGCAACGUGCUUUGCGAAUAAUGUCCAAACUCGGUUACUAAUUGUAUGUGUUAUCACAAUGGUCCCACUAAUUAUGCCUUUCAACACUGAGUCUGGUAACCGCAUGCUGUUUACUACACAUCUCAAUGCACUGAUAGGACAUUUGUUUCAACUGUAUUUCUUAUUUGUCUAAAGACAUAUUUGUUAUGUUCGGCGUUACAAAAUAUUGUAAAUUAAGGAUACAGGUAAGCUAUGAAAUGGUGUAUAUUACAGUAGAAAUGUCAGAAUAAAAUUAGCAAAUAAAAAAAAAGCGCCCCAACCAGGAUCGAACCCUCGACCUCCUGCAUUAUAACCCAAAACUCUAUUCACUGCACCACAUAUACAGCACAAUUCAUAUGUGCUGACACAGGUAGUGACCAUAUAUGUGGUUACAGUGUUGCCAGAUUGCCACUUUAUCGUCCUUUUUCUGCCAGAUGUACUCAGAGAUUUUUUUUAUCACUGGCAUGUGAGGAGUUGCACUGAGAAGCCUGAGU